GACAGCUGACAUUCCAACAGAAACAAUGGAAACAAGAAGGCAAUCAUCAGCGUGCAAAUGUAAACAAACAACUAGUAACUUAGAAUUCUAUACUUAGUGGAAAAAUCAUGCAAUAGUGAUUGUAAAAUAAAUGUGUUUUACAGCAUACAAAAUCUGAGAGAACUGACUUCUGACAGGAAUUUGUGAAACAGAAGGAAAAAGAUCCCAGAAAGAAGCAAGGAAUGGAGGAAAGAACAAAGAGCUCCAGAAGGAUAAAUAAAGGUUUGAAAACACUUUUUAAACUACCUACUCUGCUGCCAGGAACUCUACUUCAACUGAAUCCUCAGAAAACGUAUUUAAACAAAUUCCUACACAAGAAAGUGACAUGAAGAUCCACUGGAGACCACAGAAGAAUUCUGCUGGUCUUAGAUCAAAGCAUCAAAGUCCUGCCAUUACAAACAUCCAGAAGUCAAAUUUCACCUUAGUGAGCCUCUUAUUAUUAAGCCUUGUUUUGGUUACUUCCAAACACUUCGCAACUUUCUAAGCAUGUUAAUUAAUGACUCUGAAUAGUUACGGCUGCCAUUUUUUCAUUAAAAAUCUUUUUUCAGAGA